UACACUCCUACGGGAGGCAGCAGUGGGGAAUUUUGGACAAUGGGCGAAAGCCUGAUCCAGCAAUGCCGCGUGAGUGAAGAAGGCCUUCGGGUUGUAAAGCUCUUUUGUCAGGGAAGAAACGGUGAAAGCUAAUAUCUUUUGCUAAUGACGGUACCUGAAGAAUAAGCACCGGCUAACUACGUGCCAGCAGCCGCGGUAAUACGUAGGGUGCAAGCGUUAAUCGGAAUUACUGGGCGUAAAGCGUGCGCAGGCGGUUUUGUAAGUCUGAUGUGAAAUCCCCGGGCUCAACCUGGGAAUUGCAUUGGAGACUGCAAGGCUAGAAUCUGGCAGAGGGGGGUAGAAUUCCACGUGUAGCAGUGAAAUGCGUAGAUAUGUGGAGGAACACCGAUGGCGAAGGCAGCCCCCUGGGUCAAGAUUGACGCUCAUGCACGAAAGCGUGGGGAGCAAACAGGAUUAGAUACCCUUGUAGUCCCAU
rnacentral:rRNA from 1 species